GGACCUCGUCCAGAAGCUCCUGAAGCCACAUGCGGCGCUUGAAGUCCUGGAGGGCGCGACCUUUGUCGUGCAUCAGCUGAGCCUUCAGGCUUCUGCUCCAGAAUCAGAUCGUUUCCUGUGAAUCAGUUGAAGUUGGACCUCGAACCCGGUUCUGUCUCUGCAGGAGACCAGAGGAGGACGAGGCUCGAAGCUCAUUGGCUUCUGGUCAAACGUGGAGGGUUUGAAUCCUGGUGCGGAGACGUGGCCUCGACUCAGGACACAGAGAAAAGAUCAAAGUCUCUCGUCUGUUUUCAGCUAAAAAUCUGAAACUUUAUAGGUUUUGAAAAAUCAAGAAGAAAAAAACCUUAAUCUGAAAAUCCUGAAAGAAACGUUUGAGUUGAAGAUUCUGACUUUUUAAAAUUAAUUUAAAUAAAACGUCCUGUGUUUUUGUUUCUUCUGUUGAAAAGAACAGUUUUAAAAUCAUCUGCACAUUAUAUCAUAUAUCUUAUGAUCAAUAAAGCACCGUAAAACCAAUCUUCAGUUUUUUUGUGAUUCAAAGAAAAAAAGGAGCAAAUUCUCAGGAACUAAAGUUUAAUGUUUUUUUCUUUACAGACGAUUCACAAAUGUUGAAAGUCAGAAACUUUUAAUUCAUUGUCUGAAUAAUUACUCGACUGUUUGUUUCAGAUUUAAAGAUUUUAAUGAAACUCACACACGUUGAUUUGAAACCUGUGACAUCAAUAAAUCUAAUUUCAUCAGA